rnacentral:rRNA from 1 species
UACGGAGGGAGCUAGCGUUAUUCGGAAUUACUGGGCGUAAAGCGCACGUAGGCGGCUUUGUAAGUAAGAGGUGAAAGCCUGGAGCUCAACUCCAGAAUAGCCUUUUAGACUGCAUCGCUUGAAUCAUGGAGAGGUGAGUGGAAUUCCGAGUGUAGAGGUGAAAUUCGUAGAUAUUCGGAAGAACACCAGUGGCGAAGGCGGCUCACUGGACAUGUAUUGACGCUGAGGUGCGAAAGCGUGGGGAGCAACAGG